AUUUAAUGUAAAUAAAUCAGGGGGUAUUUAUCUUCCCAAGCAUUCUUCAGUCAUCCACAGGCAAAGCGAGAAAAUGAUGACUCCUUCAGAGCUACGGAAUUAGAAUAUACUAGAGGGAAUGUGUGAGAGAAUAUCAUCUCUCUAUGCUGCUGUCACUUGGAAUGUACACACGAUGCUGACUGUUGAAGGGGUGCCAGGCUAAAAGAGCAAGAAAACACACCUACAGAUGAAGAGCUGCUCCAGUAAGAGGAAUCAAGGUCUGUUCAAAGAGGAACCAGAAAACUGUAGCCUUCUGUAAAUGCUGCUUUGCAAAGUAAGUAAUAAAAUACACUAAUGCAACCAAGCAGAACGCUUACAUAACCGUGACCAGAAUGAGGGCAAAGGGAUUGAUCGCUCCAAAUCCAUCUCAGUUAUUUCAAACACUGAUUUCCCUUGAAACGGCAUAUACUUUAUAACGAAAUUCACUUCGAGUUACCUAACAAAAAUCUUGUUUUCAUGGGAAAUAAAUAUUGUCAGAAAGAAUAAUAGAUUCUCUUGUAAACCCUCAAGAUUAUACAAUUGAGCCUUGAACAAAUGAAGGGAAAAAUAGGCUGCAGAACAAGGUCAUCAUGGAGGCAGCAAUUUCUAUGUAAUCUCUUCUUGUCAGCGAAAGGGGAAAAAAAAAAUCACAAUUGGAGUUAAGUUUCCUGUGGGAGAAUACCACGAUAGCUAAUAAUACAGUGGCUGUCUGUGUUGAGUGAAUUUUCUUUUUUAAAAAAGUGCUUGUGCUUGUUAAACACAUGAACUGUAAGCAUUUAUAAUUGGCCAACUGAUGUCCCCACACCUGUUCAUUCAGGCGUUAGACCAGGCACUUGUAAAGCGAAUGAAUGUAUCUGUACAGCCACGGGUAAAAAUAACCUGAACUAUUCUUGUGACAUUAUCAAAACUAUCUGACCAAAUAGAAGAUUGUGUUUCAUGGGAUAAAGUAGUCAAAUUAGAUGUUUCCUCACGUUUAUGACUGAUCCAUCCUAUUCACUGUGUACGAAAUAGCUGACCUGCAUUCCAGGAGAAUGACUAGCAACCAAAUUUAAGGCUCUUCGCUCAGGGGCUUAACCACCGGUUUCACCACCUCUGAGGCACAGCUUCUGAAUGUGCUGCUGUCACACAGAGACCCGAUACUUGGUACACAACAGAGGAGGAACACUUAAUUCAAUUGACACUGUGUCAGCUCUGCGGGAUAACCAUGGUGUUUCAGUGUUGGUCAACUCUUUAGAAAUAAUCAAGUUCAAGCGGAAGUUGGAGAAGUCACUUUCUUUUAAAGCGAGCUUAAACAUAUAUGUAGGUGUAUGGAAUCUCUCCAACGAGAAGUUCCCAAGGACAGCCGAUUACAGGACCGCCAGUGAUGUCACUCAGCUCACUCAUUAUUCUUUAGCCAUCCUGGCAACGGAUUCCUCGAAAAAUCCAGGUGUGGUUGAUCGAAUCAUUGCUCACAAUUUUUCACAUCCUUCUUAUAUUAAAUUAUUCAGCUACAUCCUGUGUUAUGUGACUCCACAUUACUAUCUACUGUGGGUAAAAUAUCUUCCCCAUCCCAUUUGUUUGGGGCAUGGCCAUACAGCUUGCUUUAGCCAAUGAAAUGUUCCUGAAAGUGCCGCAAGCCCUCCAAGGCGCUUGUGUGCUCGUGCCGUGUGCUAUAAAAGGAGCAAGUUCCAGGAAGCUAUUGGUCAAAAGAGAAGGAGGGAGACCUGAACCCUGGCGUCCAGCCAAGCCCAGCCAAGUUGCAGCUGAUUCACAGGCCAAUGUGAGAGAAAUAAAUGCUUGUUGUUUCAAGCCAGAGUUGUGGAUGGUUGAUUAUCCCAGAGUAUUGUGGCAAAGUGUCAUCUUAGUGCCUUAGCACAUACCAUUCCCUCUACAAAGAAUGCUCUUCCACACCCACUCUUUGCCCAGUUAACUCCUACUCAUACUUCAUAUCUUGGUUUAAAUGUCUUGUACAUAGGACAGAUGUUGCAGAUCAGAUUAACUCCUCCUCCACAUCCUGUAUUUCUUCUUUUGUAAGAUUCAUCACAUUUGUAAUUAUUUGGUCCAUGUCGUCCAACUAGCCAAUAAGAAAAAUAAAUAUAUCUCCCCGUCAUCUUAAAAACUGAUUUGUUUUAAAGUGAUGGUUUGGCAUAAAAGAAAAAAAUUACAUAGUGUUGCUAUUAAUGAUUGCUUAAUUUAGAUAUUUCAAAAUAUCAUGCCUAUGUGCCAUGAAAUGAGUCCAUUUUUGAAGCAAUUUAAGAUAGAAUUCAUCUAAGAAGAAAAUUUACAAUUGGCACUUGGUUUAUUUCAAACAUUUGUCAUUAAGUGGCUCCAUCCUUUUAAAAGAAUGAAAUCUAUCUUUCUUAUUUUUAAAAAAUUUUCCAUUCUUAAUUCAUUUUUUUAGAGUUGGCAUUUAUUUUUUUCAAAACGUGGUUCUUUGCUCCCACAAGUAGGUUUUGCAUCAAUAGAAUUCUAUUUAAUUUAAAUCAAUUUUUUCUUUUGCCAAAAGCAACAUAUGUCCAUCAAAGAAAGUUGGAAAAUGCAGAUAAGUAUAAAGAAGGAAAAUUUAUUUCUGUAAUUCCAUUACCCAGAGAUAGCCACUAUAUAUCCUUCCAAAUAUUUUUUUUGAGAUUUUAUUUUUUUUUUCCUUCUUCUCCCCAAAGCCCCCCAGUACACAGCUGUAUAUUCUAGUUGUAGGUCCUUAUGGUUGUGCUAUGUGGGACGCCGCCUCAACAUGGCCUAACAAGCGGUGCCGUGUCCGCGCCCAGGAUUUGAAUUGGCGAAACCCUGGGCCGCCAAAGUGGAGCAUGUGGACUUAAUUACUUGGCCAAGGGACCGGCCCCCAAAUGUUUUUUA